rfam:Parcubacteria (Magasanikbacteria) bacterium GW2011_GWA2_37_8 TS58_C0005, whole genome shotgun sequence.
GCGGGUGUAGUACAAUGGUUCGUAUACGUCCUUGCCAAGGAUGAGAUGGCGGUUCGAUUCCGCUCACCCGCU